rnacentral:lncRNA from 1 species
GCCAUCUCUCUUAUUUGAAAGCAUAUUGACGCGGAGAAACAUUUAAAAAAAUAUUUUGAAAAUGGAGGAGCCAAUACACUUUAUUAAGAAAUUAUCCUUCACGCUUGUCAUAAGACUGGAUAAAAAUUAUAUCAUAUUUAUUAAAAAUGUCCAUACAAACACCGUAACGUUACUUGGUCUGCCAAGUUUUAACAAAAUGCUCUAAAAAAUACCAUCAUCAAUGCUAGUAUCAGCUAUGAAGACUUUUUUCAGAAUUAUUGUGAUACUAUCUGCCUUAGAAACUGUCAUGAUAAUAUAUUAAUACCAUGUAAUGCGAUAUUUUUGCGUGAGAUUAUUAUGUUUUUUGAUUUUCGCGGGAUGCUAUUUUGCAUUCUCCGACAGAGAGUUUAUAUCCGUUCCAUACAUGCUCCGCAAUACUGCACUUAAUAUGAAAUAUCAAUUAUCAAUACGUGUUUAUUUGCUUUGUUAAUCUGCAAUAUGCACGAUCUGUUUGCUGAACAAUAUUCCUAUACAAUGUUUAUAAAAACGCUUUAUCUGUAUU